GACGAACGCUGGCGGCGUGCUUAACACAUGCAAGUCGAACGAUGAAGCCGGAGCUUGCUCUGGUGAAUUAGUGGCGAACGGGUGAGUAACACGUGAGUAACCUGCCCUUGACUCUGGGAUAACUGCUAGAAAUGGUAGCUAAUACCGGAUACGACCCUCGGAGGCAUCUCCAGGGGGUGGAAAGAAUUUCGGUCAAGGAUGGACUCGCGGCCUAUCAGCUAGUUGGUGAGGUAAUGGCUCACCAAGGCGACGACGGGUAGCCGGCCUGAGAGGGUGACCGGCCACACUGGGACUGAGACACGGCCCAGACUCCUACAGGAGGCAGCAGUGGGGAAUAUUGCACAAUGGGCGCAAGCCUGAUGCAGCAACGCCGCGUGAGGGAUGACGGCCUUCGGGUUGUAAACCUCUUUCAGCACCGACGAAGCGCAAGUGACGGUAGGUGCAGAAGAAGGACCGGCCAACUACGUGCCAGCCGCCGCCGUAA
rnacentral:rRNA from 1 species